GACGAACGCUGGCGGCGUGCUUAACACAUGCAAGUCGAGCGGGGAGUUAGCCUUCGGGCUGACUUCUAGCGGCGGACGGGUGAGUAACGCGUGAGCAACCUUUCUCUCAGUGGGGAAUAACACAGGGAAACUUGUACUAAUACCGCAUGAGACCACAGAGCUGCAUGGCUUAGGGGUCAAAGAUUUAUUGCUGAGAGGUGGGCUCGCGUCCGAUUAGGUAGUUGGUGAGGUAACGGCCCACCAAGCCGACGAUCGGUAGCCGACCUGAGAGGGUGAUCGGCCACAUUGGGACUGAGACACGGCCCAAACUCCUACGGGAGGCAGCAGUGGGGAAUAUUGGGCAAUGGGGGAAACCCUGACCCAGCAACGCCGCGUGGAGGAAGAAGGUUUUCGGAUCGUAAACUCCUGUCCUCAGGGAAGAGCAGAAGACGGUACCUGAGGAGGAAGCCCCGGCUAACUACGUG
rnacentral:rRNA from 1 species